AACAGGAAAUAUGACCAAAAAUAAAAACAAGCAAAACUCAAACACUCAAAAUAUGUACACAGCAACACAAACUGUUAAUUUAAAAAUGUGUACCCCAGAUGGAAUGCUAACUAGCAGAGACAGAAAAGGAAGGCAGAGAGAAUAUCCGAGCAUGUCUUGAGCCUCUUCUGUCUCCAACGUGUCCAGACACAGGUCACACACCAACCCACAGGAGCAGGAAGGCAAAGCACAGCUCCCAAACCGAGCAGUGCUUAUUAACGGCCAUUCAAGUGGUGGGAGAAGCCGCCUGACACAAUGCACCGCAUGGAGAUAAGUAACCUUGGUUACUGUUUCCAAGGACACUGGGCUCUUGGCUAACAAGAGAAGAGCUGAGGUGAAGCUGAAUGCAACGUGAGUCAUUUUCACACAUGCAUGCGAGGCAAAUCAGCGGGCUAAUAUUCUACACUCCCCCAAAUCCCCGGUGGAGGCAUCUAACUAAACAGCUGAAGUAUUAAACAGCCAAUACUUUUCACGGUCAAGGCUUUUUGACCAUGUCUACUGAAUUUUCCCCUGGCACUUCCUAAGGAGUAACGAACCCUAGGGUAAGGAAUUGGUUUGUUUGGUUUUUAUCAAGACAAGGUUUCACUGUGUGGCCCUGGCUGUCCUCAAACUCACAGAGAUCCACCUGCCUCUGCUUCCCAAAUGCUGGGAUUAAAGGCGUGCGCCACCACUGCCCGGCUACAGUAAGGACUUUUAACUGAGGCAUUCUUGAAUAAAUCUAUGGGUGGAGACAAUCUAGCUAAGAUGUCAUGGAUACAGGCUACUGUGAAGACAAUACCUCACAUAGCAUUUCCAAAAAAUGUAGCAGUGUAAAUGUAGCUAAACUGGGAACAUUCUUUGGCUAAGGUCAAUCCUGGUUUAAUGAGGGAAUAAUCUAGAAUACAGCCUGGAGAGCCUCAUUGCUCCUCUGGGCCAUGGUGAGAUACCAGUGGGACCAUCGUUGGGAAAGCCUGCUGAACACCAGCCCACCUGCGUGUGCGGAGCCUCUGCACUCCACCAACCCCCGGGAGGGGAAGGCCGUGUGGUCACAAUGCAGAGGGCUGUCUGGAUGUUCAGUAGUCAGAUGAUAUCAUCUGGAACUGAUGAGUAAACGGGUUCAUCAGCUCUUCUCCCCACACUCUGAGCUCCAGCAAGGCCAAGGAGAAGCCACAGCAACAGUUGAAAACGAUCCACCUCUUGGAGAAAAUAUACAAGAAGGUGCUGGUGCCUGGCAGAGAAGGAUAAUGACAGCACCGGAAGCCGGUUGGCAGCGACAGGCAUGCAAACAGGACAGCGGCAGCUCCACACAGACACGUUAGUUGAUUUGAUCAAACGUUAUGGGGACAAAAAUGAGGCAGUGGAGGAUUCACGAUUGGCACAGUCCAGGACGACCAAAGAAUUGCCUGUUGACCUCUCAACACACAAGACUGAGAUGGAGACGCUAAGAUCCACAAGAUAAAAGUUUGGUUGACCUUCACUCAGGGCCAUCAGAGCAUCCACAAGUCACUGAAGUAGACGGCUUUUCCUGCUAGAGAAACACCUGCUUCUACCACAAGAGGGAGUUUCAGUCCACAGUCACCCAGAGCAUUAAAGGUUUUGCUACGUAACA